GCCUGCGUAGCUCAAUUGGCAGAGCAGUCGACUCUUAAUCGAUUGGUUGGAGGUUCGAGUCCUCUCGCAGGCACCA
rnacentral:tRNA from 1 species